UGUGACUGUAAAAGCGGAUCUAUAGAAUCGUUAUAUCAUAUAAUCUUCUGUUGUCCAUUACAUUCGGCUUCACGGUCCAAGUUUCUGGCCCCAUAUUUAUCGAGAAUUGCUGACAGUCCUCAGGAAGCCCAAAUAAUAUACUUAUUAAACGACGAAGAUACAAGUAGAUCCCUUGCAGUCGCUAGAUACCUGAUUAAUGUUUUAUUUCAAAAGAGGAGAAAUGGAUCACUGUAUGUUUCUGACAGCUUAGCUAAACUUAAGAACCAUCAAUAAGUGCCAGAACUAAGACGUAUACCCCCCAAAAUCUGAUGGAUCGGAAUUGCGGUUUACAUAGAGGGAGCUUAUUGUGUAUAGUGUUUACUAAACUAAAGUAAAAUCGGUUUUAUAAGGGUGUUUUAACUUGGAACUGUUUAAAUUGUAUUGUUUAUGGAUAAAUUCUGAUGUAUUGUUUUCGAUAUGGGCCAAUGGCCGCAAUAAAUAAAUCUCU
rnacentral:lncRNA from 1 species